GACGAACGCUGGCGGUAUGCCUAAUACAUGCAAGUCGAACGCUGAAACACUCUGCUUGCAGAGUGUGGAUGAGUGGCGAACGGGUGAGUAACACGUGGGGAACCUGCCCAUAAGAGGGGGAUAACAUCCGGAAACGGGUGCUAAUACCGCAUAGGUGAUCAUAGCGCAUGCUUAGAUCAUUAAAGAUGGCUUCGGCUAUCGCUUAUGGAUGGCCCCGCGGCGUAUUAGCUAGUUGGUGAGGUAAUGGCUCACCAAGGCUGUGAUACGUAGCCGACCUGAGAGGGUGAUCGGCCACACUGGAACUGAGACACGGUCCAGACUCCUACGGGAGGCAGCAGUAGGGAAUCUUCCACAAUGGGCGAAAGCCUGAUGGAGCAAUACCGCGUGAGUGAAGAAGGUCUUCGGAUCGUAAAGCUCUGUUGUUAGAGAAGAACAAGAGGUGUAGUAACUGGCACCUCCUUGACGGUAUCUAACCAGAAAGUCACGGCUAACUACGUGCCAGCAGCCGCGGUAAUACGUAGGUGACAAGCGUUGUCCGGAUUUAUUGGGCGUAAAGCGAGCGCAGGCGGUCUUUUAAGUCUGAUGUGAAAGCCCACGGCUCAACCGUGGAGGGUCAUUGGAAACUGGAAGACUUGAAUGCAGAAGAGGAAAGUGGAAUUCCAUGUGUAGCGGUGAAAUGCGUAGAUAUAUGGAGGAACACCAGUGGCGAAGGCGACUUUCUGGUCUGUAAUUGACACUGAGGCUCGAAAGCGUGGGGAGCGAACAGGAUUAGAUACCCUGGUAGUCCACGCCGUAAACGAUGAGUGCUAAGUGUUGGAGGGUUUCCGCCCUUCAGUGCUGGAGCUAACGCAUUAAGCACUCCGCCUGGGGAGUACGGCCGCAAGGCUGAAACUCAAAGGAAUUGACGGGGACCCG
rnacentral:rRNA from 1 species